CCUACGGGAGGCAGCAGUGGGGAAUAUUGCGCAAUGGGGGAAACCCUGACGCAGCAACGCCGCGUGAGUGAGGAAGGACUUCGGUCUGUAAAGCUCUGUUAAUGAGGAAAAAUGGUAGUUGGUCUAAUAGGCUGAUUAUUUGAUGGUACUCAUAGAGGAAGCACCGGCUAACUUCGUGCCAGCAGCCGCGGUAAUACGAAGGGUGCAAGCGUUGUUCGGAUUUAUUGGGCGUAAAGCGCGCGUAGGCGGACCCGCAAGUCAGAUGUGAAAUCUCGAGGCUCAACCUCGAAACUGCGUCUGAAACUACUGGUCUAGAAUCUCGGAGGGGGAAGGGGAAUAUCGCAUGUAGGGGUAAAAUCCGUAGAUAUGCGAUGGAACACCAGAGGCGAAGGCGCCUUCCUGGACGAGUAUUGACGCUGAGGCGCGAAAGCGUGGGGAUCAAACAGGAUUAGAUACCCUGGUAGUCCACGCUGUAAACGAUGAACACUAGAUAUUGGAGGAUUUGACCCCUUCAGUGUCGCAGCUAACGCGUUAAGUGUUCCGCCUGGGAAGUACGGUCGCAAGACUAAAACUUAAAUGAAAUUGACGG
rnacentral:rRNA from 1 species